GGGGGCUGUAGCUCAGUGGUAGAGCAUCUGCCAUGCAUUCAGAAGGACCCAGGUUGAAUCCCCAAAGGCAUCUCCA